rnacentral:rRNA from 1 species
AGCUCGUAGUUGAACUUCAGGCCUGGCUGGGCGGUCCGCUUAACGGCGUGUACUGUCUGGCUGGGUCUUACCUCUUGGUGAGCCGGCGUGCCCUUUAUUGGUGUGCGUCGGGGAACCAGGACUUUUACCUUGAGAAAAUUAGAGUGUUCAAAGCAGGCCUAUGCCCGAAUACAUUAGCAUGGAAUAAUAAAAUAGGACGUGCGGUUCUAUUUUGU